GGAGCGGUGUCCGAGUGGUUGAAGGAGGCGGUCUUGAAAACCGUUGUGCUAAGGUACCGGGGGUUCGAAUCCCCCCUGCUCCG
rnacentral:tRNA from 1 species